GCUUUAUGGAAUUUUUUUUUUUUUUUUUUUUUUUUUUUUUUUAGUUUAGUUUAUUUUAGUAUUUUAAAAGAAAUUAUUUAUUAAGUUUUAACUGAUAAGUUGAAUUUGAAUUAUUAAGGAAUAAUUUUUAGUACCUUUUGUAUCAGGGUAAUUUUAAAUAUUAAAUAUAUUUUUUUUUCCCGAAUUAAAAUGAUUUAUUUUAAAUUUUUAUUAGUUGUUUUAUUAACUUUAAUAAUUUUUUAUUUGUAAUUAAAAGUUAUUCGUUUUUUAUUAUAUCUGGUUACUUAAGAUUUAAUUUAAUUAUAGAUUUUGUUUAAAGUCUUAUUUAUAUGGGGGAUAAGCUCUAUUUUUUAUUAAAAUUUUAUUUAUCUUCUUUUUUUAUAUUUUUAGUAUUUAAAAUUUAAGUUUGUAUUAAAUUUAAAAUUUUUUAUUUAGGAUUUUUUAUUAUUUAAUUUUUUAUUAAGUUUUUUUAUUAAAUAUAAAUGUUUAAUUAGUAUUGAUUUAAUUAGUAUAAUUUAUAGUUAAUUUAUUAUGAAUUCGACAAAUAUUAGUAUUCAACUGUUUAACAAAAACAUUUCCUUUAGAAUAAUUUUUGAAGGUAGGUUCUGCUCAAUGAUUUAUUUUAAAUAGCUGCAGUAUAUUGACUGUACAAAGGUAGCAUAAUAAUUAGUUCAUUAAUUGUGAACUGGAAUGAAUGAAUUUAUGAAAUGCUUGUUUUAUUUAUUUUAAUUUUAAAAUUUUAUUUUUAAGUUAAAAAGCUUAAUUAAUUUUUAGGGACGAUAAGACCCUAUAGAGGUUUAAUUUUAUUUUUAUACUUAAAUAUUUUAUUGACUAUUUUAUUUAUUUUAAUAAAUUUAUUUUUUUUUCUGGGGCGGAAAAUAAAUUUAACUUUAUUUUUUUUAUUCAUUUAUUUAUGAUAAAAUUGAUCCGAUUAAGGUUUUCGAUUAUAAGAGGUAGCUACCUUAGGGAUAACAGCGUAAUUUCAAUGGGGAGUUCUUAUUUAUAUUGAAGUUUGCGACCUCGAUGUUGAAUUAAGAUUAGAUUUUGGGGUAGUUUUUAAUUUUCUAAGUCUGUUCGACUUUUAAAUUCUUACAUGAUUUGAGUUCAGACCGGUGUAAGCCAGGUUGGUUUCUAUCUUAAAAUUUUUAUAUUGAAUUAGUACGAAAGGACCGUUUAAUACAAUGUUAUUAAUUGUUAUGUUUUAAU
rnacentral:rRNA from 1 species